CCCCCCCCCCUAUUCUUGCCCUGCUCCAAACCCCCCCGCCCACAGAUCCAGCCUCCACCCCGGCAACCUCGCCAGUCACCCGCUUUCAUAAAUCACAGGCGAAUGAAUGACCCGCGUGGAGCACGUCUGUCCCCACCCCUGAGCCGACAGCGAGCCAGGUCCGGGGACUCGCGCUGUCCGUCCCCGGGGAAGCUGGUCUGCGAGUCCGGCUCGGCGAGCUGCGGCCGGGUGAUUAAUGUCGGACCCCCCCGAACGCGGUGCACGCCAGGGAAGCGCGGAGGCUGCUGCAUCUGCUGCGAGAAGCGGGACUGGGGCUCCCUGCCGCUCCGGGGCUCGCUCGCCUCGCUGGGCUCCUGCUCUCAGCCCGCGGCCCCUGCAAUCGCAUCUUCCAGCGUCAAUGGCGCUAGCUGUGGAGCUGGUCCUCGGCGGCUGACAGCUGUUCCCGGGGCCCUGCCAUCUUCCCCGCUCCCUGGGCGCGUGUGAGAGAGGAAACAAACACAAAGCCAGCGGAGCUCUGCUGCCCACUGCUGCUGACAAACACUUCCGCCAGCCUGCAGCCAGCCCCGCUCCUGCUGCUGCCGCUGGGAGCUCGGCUUUUCCCACGGCAGCCAGCCCACGACAUGCACUACCAGCCAACCCAGACACACACGCAGUGCACACACAUGCAGCUAACGCGCACGGAGCACACAGUCAUGCACAUGUGCACACAGGCGUACACCGUGUGUUUAUGCACCUCCCACAUAAUGCAGAGCACAUGCACAGACAUGCAUACAACACAGUAUACAUACAGGCGCAACACACACACACCCCCCAUCCAUACACACACACGCAGGAGGAUACUGAGCACAGCACAUGCACCCACAGAACAAACAUAUACACACCUAACACACCCUAAGUGCUAUAGAAAUACAUCAUCAUAAUGCUGGAUACAUUUUAGACUGGUUCUGGGGCUUUUAUGCACUCAUUUCUGGUCAUUGCUAUUUUCAGUUUUCAUUCAGAUGCUCAGAGGUUAAUAAGGCACCCUAUGAACAAACAGUAUGGGUUAAGGGCCUGUGGACCAGUUAUUUAAUAAAUAGGAAACCAUUAGAAAUGGCCAAUAGUCCUAUUUAUUUGUUCCAAAGUAAACUUUACAUUCACACACAUUUUUCAUAAAUAUGAAAAACUUGAUUUAGUAAUACUUGGAAAGUGAGAAUUAUCUUCUCUCGAUUGUUUACAUACAUCUGGCCCAGACUGUCCAAGCGUCAUGUUUACUUGCAUGAAGGAACAGAAGAGUCUGUCAGAAAGCAGGCAUGAGACUCAAGGUGUGCCAUCAGUUACAUUCAGCUGCAUAAACUCAUCCAAAUCACCUCUGAUGGGGUUACUGGGAGGUAAGCUUAUCGAGAAAUAAUGAGAAAAAAAUAAAACCCAUUUUCUUUGGCUUAUCUAUGAGGAACCCUUCAAAGCAUGGGUCACUAGCCAACCCAUAUGCCAUAUGGCAGAUUGCCCUUGUUCUCUUAUUAACCUAUGGAGUUUCAUGACAAUUUUAAUUGCAUCUGAACUAUGAAUAAAAGUGAGCAUGGUGAUUUUUA